UCCCUUAUUCUUAGGGGAGGCAGCAGUAGGGAUUCUUCGGCAAUGGGGGAAAGUCUGACGGAGCAACGCGGCGUGAGUGAUGAAGGUUUUGGGUUGGUAAAAUUCUGUUGUUAGGGAAGAACAAAUGUGUAAGUAACUAUGCACGUCUUGACGGUACCUAAUCAGAAAGUCCAUCGGCUACACUACGUGCCAGCAGCCGCGGUAAUU
rnacentral:rRNA from 1 species